UUUUUUUUUGCAAUACUGAAGGAUGGCUCAACUUCUCCUAAGCACAAAAACUGGAACCAUGCUAUUGCUUUUCCUUCUACUGAAGCUGGUUCAGAGCUCUGAUAAAUAUAACAAUUUUGAUCAACACAAUGGGCCCUUUUCUAUUGAGGCAGGUCAAUCUUCGACAAUCUCGUGUUCUUCAGUUCAACAAGGUCUAUUAGAUCACGGCAUCUAUUGGUUCAGACUGAAGCAUGGAAGGAUACCAGAAACAGUACUUAUUUCUAACAGCUUAGGAAUUGAAAAAUAUAAUAUGAAUAAAACUCAUUUCAAAGGCAGUAAGACAUCAACAGAAUACAAACUGUUAAUCAAAAAUUUUAAUUCUGGACUCGUUGGAAUUUAUUACUGUAUGACAAACUACAAUAACAUGAUGUAUUUUGGAGGCGGCACAAGCAUAUUAAUAAAAGAGCUGAAGGCGGCUACUACUACUAAGGCUCCAACAACAACAGCCUUUGAAAAACAAUCAGACAGCACAAAGAAACCAGAUUGCCUCUGUAACUCCAAAAAAGGUAUCCGAACUAGGCACUGUCCUCACCAUUACAAAAGAAGACCCAGAAAAGUUGCCACAGGAAAGUUACUGCAUUCAGGACAGUAUGUCUAACUUUCUCUAUGCAAGAGAUGUGAUUUUAAAGGUGUCACUAUGAAUCUUAUGUUACCCCCCUGGAGUAAUGGAAAUAAUUCAAGAUUUCUUGAUUUUAAAACUUUUAUGACCAAGAUAUAAAAGUGAUUUUCUACUUUUUGUUUCUUACUUUUCCUCAAAAUGCCACAUUUUAUUGUUUCUUUUCCAA